rnacentral:rRNA from 1 species
AGUCGAGCGGUAACAUUGGUAGCUUGCUACCAGAUGACGAGCGGCGGACGGGUGAGUAAUGCUUGGGAAUCUACCUAGUAGUGGGGGAUAGCUCGGGGAAACUCGAAUUAAUACCGCAUACGUCCUACGGGAGAAAGCAGGGGAUCAUUAGACCUUGCGCUAUUAGAUGAGCCUAAGUCGGAUUAGCUAGUUGGUGGGGUAAAGGCCUACCAAGGCGACGAUCUGUAGCUGGUCUGAGAGGAUGAUCAGCCACACUGGGACUGAGACACGGCCCAGACUCCUACGGGAGGCAGCAGUGGGGGAUAUUGGACAAUGGGGGGAACCCUGAUCCAGCCAUGCCGCGUGUGUGAAGAAGGCCUUUUGGUUGUAAAGCACUUUAAGCAGUGAAGAAGAAGUUAUGGUUAAUACCCAUAAUGGAUGACAUUAGCUGCAGAAUAAGCACCGGCUAACUCUGUGCCAGCAGCCGCGGUAA